AGUUCGUACUGUGAAGCAUCCUGUUAAGUCAGGCAACGAGCGAGACCCACGCCCACAGUUGCCAGCGUACUCUCCGGAGUGACGGGUACACUGUGGGGACCGCCGCUGCUAAAGCGGAGGAAGGAAUGGGCAACGGUAGGUCAGUAUGCCCCGAAUAUCCCGGGCUACACGCGAGCUACAAUGGUUGGUACAAUGGGUAUCUACCCCGAAAGGGGACGGAAAUCUCCUAAAACCAAUCUUAGUUCGGAUUGAGGGCUGCAACUCGCCCUCAUGAAGCUGGAAUCCGUAGUAAUCGCGUUUCAACAGAACGCGGUGAAUACGUUCCCGGGCCUU
rnacentral:rRNA from 1 species